rnacentral:rRNA from 1 species
CGAAAGUUAGAGGUUCGAAGGCGAUCAGAUACCGCCCUAGUUCUAACCAUAAACGAUGCCAGCCAGCGAUCCGGCUGCGUUCCUCAAAUGACGCGCCGGGCAGCUUCCGGGAAACCAAAGCUUUUGGGCUCCGGGGGAAGUAUGGUUGCAAAGCUGAAACUUAAAGGAAUUGACGGAGGGCUACCACCAGWGGUGGAUCUUGCGGUUCAAUUUGACUCAACGCAGCGCACCUUACCAGGUCAGGACACAGGAAGGAUUGACAGAUUAAGAGCUCUUUCUUGAUUUUGUGGGUAGUGGUGCAUGGCCGCUCUUGGUUCGUGCAGUGAUUUGUCUGGUUAAUUCUGAUAACGGACGAGGCUCUAGCCUGCUAAAUAGACGCUCGGAUCAUUCCUCGUCCGGCGUUUCUUCUUAGAGGGACUGGCGGCGUUUAGCCGYACGAGGUUGAGCAAUAGCAGGUCUGUAAUGCCCUUAGAUGUCCUGGGCCACACGCGUG